rnacentral:piRNA from 1 species
AGAGGCUUUCUGUGAGACACAGGUGUCAGU